rnacentral:rRNA from 1 species
CAGUCGCCACGGGAAUACGAAGGGGGCUAGCGUUGUUCGGAAUUACUGGGCGUAAAGGGCGCGUAGGCGGCCAUUCAAGUUAGAUGUGAAAGCCCUGGGCUCAACCUAGGAAUUGCAUUUGAUACUGUUUGGCUUGAGUUCGGGAGAGGUGAGUGGAAUUCCCAAUGUAGAGGUGAAAUUCGUAGAUAUUGGGAAGAACACCAGUGGCGAAGGCGGCUCACUGGACCGACACUGACGCUGAGGCGCGAAAGCGUGGGGAGCAAACAGGAUUAGAUACCCCUGUAGUCCCUGUCUCUUAUAC